GACGAAGUGGCCAAGUGGUUUUAAGGCAACUGGCUACUAUCCAGUAGAUCGCAGGUUCGAUUCCUGCCUUCGUCU
rnacentral:tRNA from 1 species